rnacentral:rRNA from 1 species
GACGAACGCUGGCGGCGUGCUUACACAUGCAAGUCGAACGGAAAGGCCCUGCUUUUGUGGGGUGCUCGAGUGGCGAACGGGUGAGUAACACGUGAGUAACCUGCCCUUGACUUUGGGAUAACUUCAGGAAACUGGGGCUAAUACCGGAUAGGAGCUCCUGCUGCAUGGGGGGGGGUGGAAAGUUUCGGCGGUUGGGGAUGGACUCGCGGCUUAUCAGCUUGUUGGUGGGGUAGUGGCUUACCAAGGCUUUGACGGGUAGCCGGCCUGAGAGGGUGACCGGCCACAUUGGGACUGAGAUACGGCCCAGACUCCUACGGGAGGCAGCAGUGGGGAAUAUUGCACAAUGGGCGGAAGCCUGAUGCAGCAACGCCGCGUGCGGGAUGACGGCCUUCGGGUUGUAAACCGCUUUCGCCUGUGACGAAGCGUGAGUGACGGUAAUGGGUAAAGAAGCACCGGCUAACUACGUG